GUAACACAAUACACUUAUUGUCACAGGUAAUUCUGAAAGGCAAAAUAUCUUUCUUUUCUACCCUGUGAAAUAUGGUCAGUAUCUGAAUGGAGUCAAACCAAUUCCCCACAUAUGUUCAACUUCACAUACUGUACUGAGGCCAAAUUUAAGUUCCAGCUGCUGCAAAAUGCAACAUAUGUGGCCUAUGAAACAGCUUGCACUGGAAAUUUUGGACAUCAUGCUUAAGACCUGGCUUGGACAUUGUGCUGGCUUUGUAUUCAACAGAAGACUAUGCUGUGGAGUGCAAGUUGAGUGGGAGCUGAAGUGGACAACCAUGCUGGGGGACAAAGAACAAGCCAGGAAUGGAGAAAGGCAUGCUUUGCUGAGGGCAUGAACAACAUGUGCUGCUGGCAGCUGCGGAGGCACGGUUGCGCUGGCAGCGGUGAAGUGCGGUGGUGAUGGCAGGAGCACGGUAGCGGUAAGCCCAGAGCUCCUGCAGAUGCCACCGGUGCUGUUGGUGGCGGGGGUUGGGGGGGUGGCAAGUAUCAACUAGGGCUUGGUGACUGCCAAUAGACUGCCUACACUGAUCACGGACUGCCUGCAGACACCAUCGGUGGUGUCAUA
rnacentral:lncRNA from 1 species